rnacentral:rRNA from 1 species
GGAAUUCGCCCUUAGAGUUUGAUCCUGGCUCAGGAUGAACGCUGGCGGCGUGCUUAACACAUGCAAGUCGAACGGGGGUCAUUUUGCGGAAGUCUUCGGACGGAAGUGAAUUGACUCGAGUGGCGGACGGGUGAGUAACACGUGAGCAACCUGCCUUUUGCUGGGGAAUAACUGUGGGAAACCAUGGCUAAUACCGCAUGUUGUACUGACUGGGCAUCCAGUUGGUAUGAAAGGAGAAAUCCGGCAGAAGAUGGGCUCGCGUCCGAUUAGGUAGUUGGUGGGGUAAUGGCUCACCAAGCCAACGAUCGGUAGCCGGACUGAGAGGUCGAACGGCCACAUUGGGACUGAGACACGGCCCAGACUCCUACGGGAGGCAGCAGUGGGGAAUAUUGGGCAAUGGGGGAAACCCUGACCCAGCGACGCCGCGUGAAGGACGAAGGCUUUCGGGUUGUAAACUUCUUUGGGGAGGGACGAAAUUGACGGUACCUCCAGAACAAGCCACGGCUAACUACGUGCCAGCAGCCGCGGUAAUACGUAGGUGGCAAGCGUUAUCCGGAUUUACUGGGUGUAAAGGGCGCGCAGGUGGUUCUGAAAGUCAGAUGUGAAAGAUCAAGGCUUAACUUUGACAGGUCAUCUGAAACUUUGGGACUUGAGUAUCAGAGGGGAAAGUGGAAUUCCUGGUGGAGCGGUAAAAUGCGCAGAGAUCAGGAGGAACACCGGUGGCGAAGGCGACUUUCUGGCUGACAACUGACGCUGAGGCGCGAAAGCGUGGGGAGCAAACAAGAGUAGAUACCCUGGUAGUCCACGCCGUAA